rnacentral:rRNA from 1 species
GAUAAACGCUAGCGGCAGGCUUAACACGUGCAAGUCGAGGGGCAGCAUAGAUUGUAGCAAUACAAUUGGUGGCGACCGGCGCACGGGUGCGUAACGCGUAUGCAACCUACCCGUCACAGGGGGAUAAUCCGGAGAAAUCUGGCCUAAUACCCCAUAACAUAUGGAUCGGCAUCGGUUCAUGUUGAAAUUUUCGGAGGUGACGGAUGGGCAUGCGUAGCAUUAGCUUGUUGGUGAGGUAACGGCUCACCAAGGCGACGAUGCUUAGGGGGACUGAGAGGUUAUCCCCCCACACUGGUACUGAGACACGGACCAGACUCCUACGGGAGGCAGCAGUGAGGAAUAUUGGUCAAUGGGCGCAAGCCUGAACCAGCCAUGCCGCGUGCAGGAUGACGGCUCUAUGAGUUGUAAACUGCUUUUGUACGAGGGUAAAGUGGGUUACGUGUAACCUUUUGAAAGUAUCGUACGAAUAAGGAUCGGCUAACUCCGUGCCAGCCGCCGCCGUAA